rnacentral:tmRNA from 1 species
GGGGGUGUAAUUGGUUUCGACAGCAUUUUAGAAAUAAGAAUAGCGAGUAGUGGAUUCUCGUUUGCCACUUAAAAAAACGGGAAAAUUAAAAAUAAACGCAGAUAACAAAGAAUUUGCUUUAGCUGCCUAAGGCAGUUAACGUUUUACUAGAAAGGCCCACGGUUUUAGUAAGGCGUCGAUUAGUGGGAAACGAAGCUAUUUUGAGUCAUAGAAAUAGUAGGUAUUAAAUGACUACUUUAUUUUUUUGUUUGUUUAUUCAUGAAAAAAUAAAGGAAAUUUAAGAAUAAACUGUACUCGAAGAAGUUCUUAUGGAAGAAACGUUGGACAGGAGUUCGACUCUCCUCAUCUCCACCA